rnacentral:rRNA from 1 species
CAGAGUUUGAUCAUGCUCAGGAUGAACGCUAGCUACAGGCUUAACACAUGCAAGUCGAGGGGCAGCAUGAACUUAGCUUGCUAAGUUUGAUGGCGACCGGCGCACGGGUGAGUAACACGUAUUUAACCUGCCGAUGACUCGGGGAUAGCCUUUCGAAAGAAAGAUUAAUACCCGAUGGCAUAGUUCUUCCGCAUGGUGGAACUAUUAAAGAAUUUCGGUCAUCGAUGGGGAUGCGUUCCAUUAGG